GACGAACGCUGGCGGCGUGCUUAACACAUGCAAGUCGAACGGAAAGGCCCUGCUUUUGUGGGGUGCUCUAGUGGCGAACGGGUGAGUAACACGUGAGUAACCUGCCCUUGACUUUGGGAUAACUUCAGGAAACUGGGGCUAAUACCGGAUAGGAGCUCCUGCUGCAUGGUGGGGGUUGGAAAGUUUCGGCGGUUGGGGAUGGACUCGCGGCUUAUCAGCUUGUUGGUGGGGUAGUGGCUUACCAAGGCUUUGACGGGUAGCCGGCCUGAGAGGGUGACCGGCCACAUUGGGACUGAGAUACGGCCCAGACUCCUACGGGAGGCAGCAGUGGGGAAUAUUGCACAAUGGGCGGAAGCCUGAUGCAGCAACGCCGCGUGCGGGAUGACGGCCUUCGGGUUGUAAACCGCUUUCGCCUGUGACGAAGCGUGAGUGACGGUAAUGGGUAAAGAAGCACCGGCUAACUACGUGCCAGCAGCCGCGGUGAUACGUAGGGUGCGAGCGUUGUCCGGAUUUAUUGGGCGUAAAGGGCUCGUAGGUGGUUGAUCGCGUCGGAAGUGUAAUCUUGGGGCUUAACCCUGAGCGUGCUUUCGAUACGGGUUGACUUGAGGAAGGUAGGGGAGAAUGGAAUUCCUGGUGGAGCGGUGGAAUGCGCAGAUAUCAGGAGGAACACCAGUGGCGAAGGCGGUUCUCUGGGCCUUUCCUGACGCUGAGGAGCGAAAGCGUGGGGAGCGAACAGGCUUAGAUACCCUGGUAGUCCACGCUGUAAACGGUGGGUACUAGGUGUGGGGUCCAUUCCACGGGUUCCGUGCCGUAGCUAACGCUUUAAGUACCCCGCCUGGGGAGUACGGCCGCAAGGCUAAAACUCAAAGGAAUUGACGGGGCCCCGCACAAGCGGCGGAGCAUGCGGAUUAAUUCGAUGCAACGCGUAGAACCUUACCUGGGUUUGACAUGGAUCGGGAGCGCUCAGAGAUGGGUGUGCCUCUUUUGGGGUCGGUUCACAGGUGGUGCAUGGCUGUCGUCAGCUCGUGUCGUGAGAUGUUGGGUUAAGUCCCGCAACGAGCGCAACCCUUGUUCACUGUUGCCAGCACGUUAUGGUGGGGACUCAGUGGAGACCGCCGGGGUCAACUCGGAGGAAGGUGGGGAUGACGUCAAGUCAUCAUGCCCCUUAUGUCCAGGGCUUCACGCAUGCUACAAUGGCUGGUACAGAGAGUGGCGAGCCUGUGAGGGUGAGCGAAUCUCGGAAAGCCGGUCUCAGUUCGGAUUGGGGUCUGCAACUCGACCUCAUGAAGUCGGAGUCGCUAGUAAUCGCAGAUCAGCAACGCUGCGGUGAAUACGUUCCCGGG
rnacentral:rRNA from 1 species